GUCACUUUGGCGGAGUGGUUAACGCGCUGCCCUGCUAUCCGGACUACGGUAGUAGUCAGGCAGUUCUUUCGAGAGCACAGGUUCGAAUCCUGUAGGUGACG